rnacentral:rRNA from 1 species
AACGAACGCUGGCGGCAUGCCUAACACAUGCAAGUCGAACGAGAUCUUCGGAUCUAGUGGCGCACGGGUGCGUAACGCGUGGGAAUCUGCCCUUUGCUUCGGAAUAACAGUUAGAAAUGACUGCUAAUACCGGAUGAUGUCUUCGGACCAAAGAUUUAUCGGCAAAGGAUGAGCCCGCGUAGGAUUAGGUAGUUGGUGGGGUAAAGGCCUACCAAGCCGACGAUCCUUAGCUGGUCUGAGAGGAUGAUCAGCCACACUGGGACUGAGACACGGCCCAGACUCCUACGGGAGGCAGCAGUGGGGAAUAUUGGGACAAUGGGCGAAAGCCUGAUCCAGCAAUGCCGCGUGAGUGAUGAAGGCCUUAGGGUUGUAAAGCUCUUUUACCAGGGAUGAUAAUGACAGUACCUGGAGAAUAAGCUCCGGCUAACUCCGUGCCAGCAGCCGCGGUAAUGUGACUACUG